UGGCGGAGCCAUCCUUGGGAUACCACCCUUGUAGUACUGGGACUCUAACCAUAGGCCAUGAAUCUGGUCUUGGGACACUGUCAGGUGGGCAGUUUGGCUGGGGCGGUCGCCUCCCAAAAGGUAACGGCGGCGCUCAAAGGUUCUCUCAGUACGGUCGGAAAUCGUACGUAGAGUGUAAAGGCAAAAGAGAGCUUGAUUGCAAGACAUACAGGUCGAGCAAGGAU
rnacentral:rRNA from 1 species